GGGCUGGGGCUCAGUGGAAGAGCGCCUGCCUAGCACGUGUGAGGCACUGAGUUUGAUUCUCAGCACUACA
rnacentral:tRNA from 1 species